GCCCAGCCCUUGGAUAGCUCAGUUGCUACAGUAUGAGACUCUUAAUCUCAGGGUUGCAGGUUCAAACCCCACAUUGGGCG